GCUCCGGCCAUAUCAGCCUGAAGGCGCCCGAUCUCGUCUGAUCUCGGAAGCUAAGCAGAGUCGGGCCUGCUUAGUAUAAAAAAAAAAAAAAAGAGUCGAGAAUU
ensembl:rRNA 5S_rRNA 5S ribosomal RNA